rnacentral:rRNA from 1 species
AUUGAACGCUGGCGGCAGGCCUAACACAUGCAAGUCGAGCGAGCGGCGGACGGGUGAGUAAUGUAUGGGGACUGCCCGAUAGAGGGGGAUAACUACUGGAAACGGUAGCUAAUACCGCAUACUAUCGGAUAACCCAUAUGGGGUUAGCUAGUUGGUGAGGUAAUGGCUCACCAAGGCGACGAUCCCUAGCUGGUCGGAGAGGAUGAUCAGCAAAACUGGGACUGGGACACGGCCCAGACUCCUACGGGGGCAGCAGUGGGGAAUAUUGCACAAUGGGCGCAAGCCUGAUGCAGCCAUGCCGGGGGUAUGAAGAAGGCCCUAGGGUUGUAAAGUACUUUCAGUCGGGAGGCGGUACCGACAGAAAAAGCACCGGCUAACUCCGUGCCAGCAGCCGCGGUAAUUC